UACGUAGGGGGCAAGCGUUGUCCGGAUUUAUUGGGCGUAAAGAGCGUGUAGACGGCCAGACAGGUCCGUUGUGAAAACUCGAGGCUCAACCUCGAGACGCCGAUGGAAACCGUUUGGCUAGAGUCCGGAAGAGGAGAGUGGAAUUCCUGGUGUAGCGGUGAAAUGCGCAGAUAUCAGGAAGAACACCCGUGGCUAAGGCGGCUCUCUAGUACGGUACUGACGCUGAGACGCGAAAGCGUGGGGAGCGAACAGG
rnacentral:rRNA from 1 species